GCUGGCGUAGCCCAACCGGCAGAGGCAGCCGGCCUAAACCCGGCCCAGUGGGGGUUCGAAUCCCCCCGCCAGCACCA
rnacentral:tRNA from 1 species